AUCAGCAAUAAACUAGGGGAAAGUUAGCUGGGAGGUCACUGCUCAGGACUGGCUGGGCAUCAAUCGUUUGGUGAGCAGAUUGUCUGAUCCUGAAGACACUGACAAGAAAUGAAUUAUUACUUUCCUCUUUGCUACUGUCAUAUUUUGGAGGAAUAGUUUGCUACUCCAGCAUGAUGUGAGCAAUCGUAAAGUCUUUCACAACAUCAGCACCUGCCUACAGUUCUACCUCAAUGUUGGGAGAACUCAUUCAACAGAAGGAAGCUAAAAUUGGCAAAAUACAGCUCCAUGCUUCAUUUGUCAACAGUUCUGCUCUUGAGUGAAGAAGACACAAAAGCUGCUCCUUCAUAUAAGCUAGACCUGAGGUUCUGGAACACACGAGCUUUUACUGAAAUCCCUUUUUGGACUGACUAAUUUUCUGAAAGAAGAUUUGCAAAGAUCUGAAUUGGUUCUCAGUGUAACUGCCUGCUAUGAAUUGAACUGACAUAGCUAAAAUAUUAAAGCAGUUUGUGAUAUUCUAAAAAAGUACAACAUUAA